rnacentral:misc_RNA from 1 species
GAUGAAGAACGCAGCGAAAUGCGAUAAGUAAUGUGAAUUGCAGAAUUCAGUGAAUCAUCGAAUCUUUGAACGCACAUUGCGCCCGCCAGUAUUCUGGCGGGCGUGCCUGUUCGAGCGUCAUUACAACCCUCAGGCCCCCGGGCCUGGCGUUGGGGAUCGGCGGAGCCCCCCGUGGGCACACGCCGUCCCCCAAAUACAGUGGCGGUCCCGCCGCAGCUUCCAUCGCGUAGUAGCUAACACCUCGCGACUGGAGAGCGGCGCGGCCACGCCGUAAAACACCCAACUCUUCUGAAGUUGACCUCGAAUCAGGUAGGAAUACCCGCUGAACUUAAGCAUAUCAAUAAGCGGAGGA